AAUAAUUUGCGACUUUUGUCAUUUUGUGCGGUUAAGCAAGAUGGCCGCUCGAUUUUGUUCAUGUUUUAAGAGUUCUGCUACAAAAAUCCACAUUUUACAGCGUUUUGCGUACUGCACCCAGGCUAAAACUGGUGGAAAGUUUGAUACAAGUGUGCUGGAUAUUUUAGUAUGUCCUCUCUCGAAAGAGCCGCUGAGGUGCGCAAAAUUUUACCAAAUAUCGAAUUUCAAAAAUAUACGUUUUGUUCAUGUACUUCGUACAAUGUGUGCUAGACCCACCUACAAGAACAUCUAUAAAUUGUAGUUAAAUUACUAUUAAUAUUUGCUGGGUUUUUUGACUGACAAAAUGUUGUUACUGACAGCUAAAUUUUGGGUUGAAUUUAGCAACCAAAAAUUCCUAUAUAUUUUCAGUUUUUUUCUGACAUCAUUUCUAAUUUUAGGUAUGACGAAGCAAAUAAUGAGCUGGUGAAUGACAAGCUGAACGUUGCGUAUCCAAUAAAUGAUGGCAUUCCAAAUAUGAACCCAAAUAAUGCUCGAAAGAUCAACAAAGACACAAAAGAGUAAUAGAUAAUUAGAGAGCCUUACCGUAAAAUGUGGUUUGGCUCUAAAACUGUGCCAAAUCAUUCCUGAGAUAGGUUGGAGAAACAGAGAGCUAAUAGGUUCAAGUUUAUUGAAGAGAUAAAAUUGAGUUAUACCAAAUUGCUUUUAAAGACUACAAAUAAUUUCUACA